GAUGAACGCUGGCGGCGUGCUUAACACAUGCAAGUCGAACGGUGAACGAGGGAGCUUGCUCCCUCCGGAUCAGUGGCGAACGGGUGAGUAACACGUGAGCAAUCUGCCCUGGACUCUGGGAUAAGCGUUGGAAACGACGUCUAAUACCGGAUACGAGGCGUGGGGGCAUCCCCAACGCCUGGAAAGGACUUCGGUCCAGGAUGAGCUCGCGGCCUAUCAGCUAGUUGGUGAGGUAACGGCGCACCAAGGCGACGACGGGUAGCCGGCCUGAGAGGGUGACCGGCCACACUGGGACUGAGACACGGCCCAGACUCCUACGGGAGGCAGCAGUGGGGAAUAUUGCACAAUGGGCGCAAGCCUGAUGCAGCAACGCCGCGUGAGGGACGACGGCCUUCGGGUUGUAAACCUCUUUUAGCAGGGAAGAAGCGAAAGUGACGGUACCUGCAGAAAAAGCACCGGCUAACUACGUGCCAGCCGCCGCAGUAACAC
rnacentral:rRNA from 1 species